ACGGUCCUAAGGUAGCGAAAUUCCUUGUCGGGUAAGUUCCGACCUGCACGAAAGGCGCAACGAAUUGGGCGCUGUCUCGACCAUGGACCCGGUGAAAUUCCACUAGUCGUGAAGAUGCGACUUACCCGCGGAAGGACGGAAAGACCCCGUGAACCUUCACUGCAGCUUGGCAUUGGCCGCUGGCCCGUCGCGUAGAGGAUAGGCGGGAGGCUUCGAAGCCCGGGCGCCAGCCCGGGUGGAGCCGACCUUGGAAUACCGCCCUCGGCGCGCCGGCGUCCUAACCCCAUGCCGUCAUCCGGAUGGGGGACCGUGCCAGGUGGGUAGUUUGACUGGGGCGGUCGCCUCCUAAAGGGUAACGGAGGCGCGCGAAGGUCCGCUCGGGACGGUCGGCAACCGUCCUCUUGAGUGCAAGAGCAUAAGCGGGCUUGACUGCGAGGCCUACAAGCCGAGCAGGUGCGAAAGCAGGCUCUAGUGAUCCGGCGGCCCCGCGUGGGUGGGCCGUCGCUCAACGGAUAAAAGGUACUCCGGGGAUAACAGGCUGAUCUUGCCCAAGAGUCCACAUCGACGGCAAGGUUUGGCACCUCGAUGUCGGCUCAUCGCAUCCUGGGGCUGGAGCAGGUCCCAAGGGUACGGCUGUUCGCCGUUUAAAGCGGUACGCGAGCUGGGUUCAGAACGUCGUGAGACAGUUCGGUCCCUAUCCUCCGCGGGCGCAGGAGAAUCGAGGGAGGCUGCCCCUAGUACGAGAGGACCGGGGUGGACGCACCUCUGGUGAACCGGUUGUCGACCAACGGCACGGCCGGGUAGCCACGUGCGGCGCGGAUAACCGCUGAAGGCAUCUAAGCGGGAAGCCGUUCCCGAGAUCAGUUCUCCUUUCGGUAAGGGCCCAGGUAGACUACCUGGUCGAUAGGCCGCAGGUGCAAGCACGGCGACGUGCUCAGCCGAGCGGUACUAAUAGCCCGAGCUCUUACCCGC
rnacentral:rRNA from 1 species